GCCACAAAUCGCACCCCCGUGGGCACGGCGCGAGGAGUUAGUCCUUUCUUUAUUUCCGUAUUUUUUUUCUUUUCUCACGUAACUUCGUUCAAUGAUUGAGUCCGCUGCCUCUGCCCGAGGUGUCGUAGUAUAAUAAAAGCCCAGGACGUUUCGACUCACAGAAUCACGAAGGUUGGAAGAGACCUUUAAGAUCAUCCAGUCCAAGCAUCCACCUGGCGCUGUAGUUCCUAAACCACAUCCCUCAGCGCCUCUUAAACACCUGCAAGGAGGGUGAUUCCACCAUGCACGAAAAGCCUAUUCCAAUGCCUGACCACUCUAACAGUGAAAUUUUUAUUUUCUAGUAUCUAAUCUGAAUCUUGCCUUAAGGGCAUGUCCCCCCGUCCUCUCACUGCAGCCACGGCAGCAGAGACUUCCCUACAGCUUCCUCUCUGUGAGUUUUGGACAGCAGUGAAGCCCCCCCAAGCCUCCUCUUCUCCAGAUGAAGCAAACCCAGCUCCCACAGCCACUUCUCACAAGACAUGUUUUCUAGUCCAUUUCCAGUUAAAGGGUUCAGAACCUCACAUUAAUUAAAGGGAACAGUCAGCUCCACGGCAGGGCAGCCCAGAAGGGGAACCAGUAGGUAAUUAGGCACAUUUCGAGCAAGUUUUACAACUUCCCAAACCCCAACCAAACCAAACAGCAGAUCCAGGAGGCUGGACCAGGGCUGUGCCGAGGCACUGUGACCCCUCUGCCUUCCCUGCUACCCACCCAGGCUGGCGCAAAUCCAGUGCCAUCAUCCCAAUGCAUCAAAUUUUCCUCUCCCUGCUCCCCUCAUGGCAAGCCUGGCCUCAGGCACUGCUCAUCUGAGAGCCCCAGGAUCUCCUGCUAACCCUGGCUGGCCCUGGAGGCUCAGCAGGAGGGGCUGCACAGGUGACACCUGGCACUGACAUUGCCACAGAGGCAAGUGGCCUCUUGGAUCAGGGGACAGGAUACAGCCGUGGAGGAGCAAGGAGAGGAAAACUGGGGGCAGAGCCCACACAUUUUAAGUUAAAAGCCUUAGCUCUGUACCCUUAUCUCAGGGUCAUGCGUGUGUGAGCACUCUGGGGAGGCAGGAAAGGCACAGUUCCAGCUGGAGUGACCCCACAGAGCCCAGGGGUUCCUUUACAUCUUGUGGGCUUCCACUAGCAAGGACUUCAAGUGACCAUCUGGAUCUGAACCUUACGAGACUACUCAGUUUGCAGCUCAGCAGUAAUGAUACCUUUAAAAAAAAGCAGCUUUGACAGGCAUAAGUGGCAUUCUUUAGCUGCUGUGUGCACGUGUGGUGGUGACAUAAGGAACACCUGCAGGGCAAAGUGAUGGUGUUUCAGUACUGCACCUUCCUAACACUUCUGCUGUGGAUUCCCAACUUCCAGCUCCGGGGAAGAGAGCAUGCAUGGCAGGAAGGCUGGAGGCACCUCCACAGGCAGAGCUGAUCUGCAGAAGGUGAAUGAUAGCAAAGCAGCAGCUCCUGGUGGGCACAGAGAGGAUUCACCCACCUCCAGCAUGAUAUGAUUCGCUGGAAAGAUUCUCCAGCCAGGAUUCUCUGGAAAGCUCAUUUUCUGCUAUAAAGGGGGAAGAAAGAAGAGAUUAGAAAAGAAAAAUGACUCAAAGAGUUGCCUUCAAAACUCCAGUAGCAGAUUGAAAUGUAAUCUCUGACUAAUUCUUCACCUCCACAGCUCAGCUCAAAUUCCUCCUAACUGUUUCCUUUACAUCAAAGACACAGAAAAUGGAAAAAAAAAAGUAAUAAUCAAAGCAGCAAAUAAAUUAUGAAAGAAAAAGGGCUUCUUAAAGUUGUGAGUGAGCCUCCAUUUGCCUAAAGAGAUCCCACAGACAGAGCCUUGCAGUUGCUUACUAAAAGAUGGGGUCACAUGGGAAGGCUCUCGGUAAAAUCCUCUGCCCCAAAACCCACAUCUAGGCUCAGAUACAGGAAGUAAACCCACAGCCUGCACUCGGUGGAAUUAGUGUUGCAAGGACAGCUAAAAGUGGAAGAAAUUCAGCUUCAUUGCCCAUACUUCCCAGUGCUUCCACACAGCAUUAAAGGUUUUGUUGCUCAGAUCUGCAGCCCAGAUAUUCCCAUUUGGAAGAACCUGAGAUUCCGGGGAUUAUAAAGGAUGCGUGGGAGUUCUAGGCAGAUCUCCAUGCUGAAGAUGAAAAAGACUCUCAUAGAAAUACUUAAUGGCCUUUGAAGCAAGAAUAAAGCAUGCAAGAUAUUUUUAGCAGCCCGCCUGCACUUGCCAACACCUGCAUCUGCUGAUGGCAGAGGCUCCCCAGGGUCGACACUCAGCACCUCUCGUUGCCACUCCACUCUGGAGAGUGAGUCAAGAAAAGUGGGGAGCACACCCUGACUAAAAGAUCCCUGAAAAAAUCACCUCUGAAAUGUGUCAAGGAUGAUGGUUCCCCUUCUGCCAACCUGUUUGUGCUUCAAAGAUGCCACCCCAGAGCACCGAAAGCUGCAUGGUGGGAAUACCCCUUAGGAUGUGAGAAGAACCACGGUGGGAUUUAUCCAUCAAGACUUCACAAGCACCCUCCUUUGCCCACCUCUUCUCUUGAUUAAGGACAUGGCAUCUCCAACUAGGUCCUCUGUUUUGGACUUCUUUCUGGAAAGCCAGAUGGUGGCUGUUGCCCCAAGACAGCAGCACUACCCAGCUAUGGAAAUGCUGAAGUGAUGCGAGUUAAAAUUUCUUUGGAACUCGCACUUCAAAGCAUCAUAAAAGUACAGAGUGGUUCAGUGUUUUGCAUGUUUGCCUACCACUCCAAAGAAUGGUUAGGAGCAGGUUGAUAAGUGGGGCUUUGUAAUUAUCCUGUGUGUUUUUCCUCUCACCCCAUCUGCCAUUAGUUUCCUUAGGAACAGGCACAUACACUGGAGUGAAGCAUUUUCCCAUGAAAAACUACCAACACCAGAUUGUGUAUGUUCUUAGGAAAUUACUUGUUUUUACUUGUUUGGUUUUUUUGACAUCAAAAAUUUGUAGUGUCUGAAUUUUCCAGUAAGAGAAACUUAAUCUUAUUGUACGAGAAUUCUCCCAGGCCAGUAAUAACAUUUCUGAAGGAACCAGUCAUGGAAAACAUGUUUCUCAGAACUGUUCUCAGGACAACAAAUUUCCUAGGCAAAUUUAAA